rnacentral:rRNA from 1 species
CGCCUAACACAUGCAAGUCGAACGCAGUAGCAAUACUGAGUGGCAAACGGGUGAGUAUAAUGUGGGAAUCUGCCUUUUGGUUCGGAAUAACACGAGGAAACUUGUGCUAAUACCGGAUAAGCCUUUACAGGGAAAGUUUUAAUGCCAAAAGAUGAGCCCGCACUUGAUUAGCUAGUUGGUAAGGUAAAAGCUUACCAAGGCAACGAUCAAUAGCUGUUCUUAGAGGAAGACCAGCCACAUUGGGACUGAGACACGGCCCAAACUCCUACGGGAGGCAGCAGUGGGGAAUCUUGCACAAUGGGGGAAACCCUGAUGCAGCGAUGCCGCGUGAGUGAAGAAGGCCUUUGGGUUGUAAAACUCUUUCGUCGGGGAAGAAAAUGACUGUACCCGAAUAAGAAGGUCCGGCUAACUUCGUACCAGCAGCCGCGGUAAUACGAAGGGACCUAGCGUAGUUCGGAAUUACUGGGCUUAAAGAGCUCGUAGGUGGUUAAAAAAGUUGAUGGUGAAAUCCCAAGGCUCAACCUUGGAACUGCCAUCAAAACUUUUUAGCUAGAGUAUGAUAGAGGAAAGUGGAAUUUCUAG